AUGGCCUCCCUCUCCCUCUCCCUCUCCCUCUCGCCACGGUCUCCCUCUCCCUCUCUUUCCACGGUCUCCCUCUGAUGCCAGGCCGAAGCUGGACUGUACUGCUGCCAUCUCGGCUCACUGCAACCUCCCUGCCUGAUUCUCCUGCCUCAGCCUGCCGAGUGCCUGCCAUUGCAGGCACACGCCACCACGCCUGACUGGUCUUCGUAUUUUUUUGGUGGAGACGGGGUUUUGCUGUGUUGGCCGGGCUGGUCUCCAGCUCCUAACCGCGAGUGAUCUGCCAGCCUCGGCCUCCGGAGGUGCCGGGAUUGCAGACGGUGUCUGGUUCACUCAGUGCUCAAUGGUGCCCAGGCUGGAGUGCAGUGGCGUGAUCUUGGCUCGCUACAACCUCCACCUCCCAGCCACCUGCCUUGGCCUCCCAAAGUGCUGAGAGUGCAGCCUCUGCCCGGCCGCCACCCCGUCUGGGAAGUGAGGAGCGUCUCUGCCUGGCCGCCCAUCGCCUGGGACGUGAGGAGUCCCUCUGCCUGGCUGCCCAGUCUGGAAAGUGAGGAGCGUCUCUGCCCAGCCGCCAUCCCAUCUAGGAAGUGAGGAGCGUCUCUGCCCGGCCGCCCAUCAUCUGAGAUGUGGGGAGCGCCUUUGCCCCGCCGCCCCGUCUGGGAUGUGAGGAGCGCCUCUGCCCGGCUGCGAGCCCGUCUGGGAGGUGAGGAGCGUCUCUGCCCAGCUGCCCUGUCUGAGAAGUGAGGAGACCCUCCGCCUGGCAACCGCCCUGUCUGAGAAGUGAGGAGCCCCUCCGCCCGGCAGCCACCCCAUCUGAGAAGUGAGGAGCCCCUCCGCCUGGCAGCCACCCCAUCUGGGAAGUGAGGAGCGUCUCUGCCCGGCAGCCACCCCAUCCGGGAGGGAGGUGGGGGUCAGCCCCCGCCAGGCCAGCCGCCCCAUCUGGGAGGGAGGUGGGGGGGUCAGUCCCCCACCUGGCCAGCUGCCCCGUCUGGGAGGUGAGAGGCGCCUCUGCCCAGCUGCCCCUACUGGGAAGUGAGGAGCCCCUCUGCCCGGCUAGCCGCCCCGUCCAGGAGGGAGGUGGGGGGGUCAGCCCCCCACCCAGCCAGCCGCCUUGUCCGGGAGGGAGGUGGGGUGAUCAGCCCCCCACCUGGCCAGCCACCCCAUCCGGGAGGGAGGUGGGGUGGUUAACCCCCCGCCAGGCCAGCCGCCCCCUCCAGGAGGGAGGUGGGGGGGUCAGCCCCCCGCCCAGCCAGCCGCCCCGUCCGGGAGGUGAGGGGCGCCUCUGCCCAGCCGCCCCUACUGGGAAGUGAGGAGCCCCUCUGCCCGGCCAGCCACCCCGUCCGGGAGGUGGGGGGGUCAGCCCCCCGCCCGGCCAGCCGCCCCGUCCGGGAGGUGAGGGGCGCCUCUGCCCGGCCGCCCCUAGUGGGAAGUGAGGAGCCCCUCUGCCCGGCCAGCCGCCCUGUCCGCGAGGGAGGUGGGGGGGUCAGCCCCCCACCCGGCCAGCCGCACCGUCCGGGAGGGAGGUGGGGGUGUCAGCCCCCUGCCCGGCUAGCUGCCUCGUCCGGGAGGUGAGGGGCGCCUCUCCCUGGCCACCCCUACUGGGAAGUGAGGAGCCCCUCUGCCCGGCCAGCCGCCCUGCCUGGGAGGGAGGUGGGGGGGUCAGCCCCCCGUCCGGCCAGCCGCCCCGUCCAGGAGGGAGGUGGGGGGUCAGCCCCCCACCCGGCCAGCCUCCCCGUCCGGGAGGGAGGUGGAGGGGUCAGCCCCCCGCCCGGCCAGCCGCCCUGUCCGGGAGGGAGGUGGGGGGGUCAGCCCCCCGCCCGGCCAGCCGCCCGGUCUGGGAGGUGAGGGGCGCCUCUGCCCGGCCGCCCCUACUGGGAAGUGAGGAGCCCCUCUGCCUGGCCACCACCAAGUCUGGGAGGUGUACCCAACAGCUCAUUGAGAACGGGCCAUGAUGACAAUGGCGGUUUUGUGGAAUAGAAAGGGGGGAAAGGUGGGGAAAAGAUUGAGAAAUCGGAUGGUUGCCGUGUCUGUGUGGAAAGAAGUAGACAUGGGAGACUUUUCAUUUUGUUCUGUACUAAGAAAAAUUCUUCUGCCUUGGGAUCCUGUUGAUCUGUGACCUUACCCCCAAACCUGUGCUCUCUGAAACAUGUGCUGUGUCCACUCAGGGUUAAAUGGAUUAAGGGCGGUGCAAGAUGUGCUUUGUUAAACAGAUGCUUGAAGGCAGCAUGCUCCUUGUUUCUUUGUUCACUUGUUUAUCUGCUGACCUUCCCUCCGCUAUUGUCCUAUGACCCUGCCAAAUCCCCCUCUAUGAGAAACACCCAAGAAUAAUCAAUAAAAAAAAAAGACCCUGUCCCCUCCAAAAUAAAUAAAUAAAUAAAUAAAUAAAUAAAUAAAUA
rnacentral:lncRNA from 10 species